rnacentral:misc_RNA from 1 species
UCAGCCACUGGACCAGCGCUGCAUGAGGUGGGAGGAUCCUUCUGCAAAUCCUUAAGCUCCUUCAAUAUGCGCUUCGACGCCAUAAUUCAGUCCGUAUACCUUCUAAUCCAAGUCCUGAAUUAAGAAGAGGAAGAUGUGGAAGACAAUUAAUUGAAUGGAAAAUUGCAGAGCUUGGAUUAGGUUUUGAGCCAAUCUUUUAAAAUAUCUACUCCAUUUUAUAGCUGAAUAAAUAUUGAUA